UGCAGCCGGGGAGAUAGCGGUGCCCUGUACCUGCAAUCCGCUACAGCAGGGGUGAUGCCAAUCCGAGCGCUGUAGCCUGCAGAGCUGCCCUCUAUAAGUGGCGUUGACGCCUGGGUCUUGCGCAACAGGAAUCUAUGAACCGUGUCAGGACAGGAAUGUAGCAGCACUAAGUAGAACCUUCUGUGUGCCGCAAGGGUGCCUGGGCCGAGUUAACUGUAGAGGUAACGUCUGUGGGAGCAGUGCGAAGUGCGGCGCACG
rnacentral:SRP_RNA from 1 species